rnacentral:rRNA from 1 species
UACGGGGGGGGCAAGCGUUGUUCGGAAUUACUGGGCGUAAAGGGCCAGUAGGCGGCCAACUAAGUCGGAUGUGAAAUCCCCAGGCUCAACCUGGGAACUGCAUCCGAUACUGGAUGGCUUGAAUUCGGGAGAGGGAUGCAGAAUUCCGGGUGUAGUGGUGAAAUGCGUAGAGAUCCGGAGGAACACCAGUGGCGAAGGCGACACGCUGGGCCGUACCUGACGCUAAGACGCGACAGCAUGGGGAGCGAACGGG